rnacentral:rRNA from 1 species
GACGAACGCUGGCGGCGUGCUUAACACAUGCAAGUCGAACGGGAUCCAAAGGCUUUUUGUUUUUGGUGAGAGUGGCGAACGGGUGAGUAACACGUGAGUAACCUGCCCCCUUCUUUUGGAUAACCGCAUGAAAGUGUGGCUAAUACAGGAUAUUCCAGGCUGGUCGCAUGAUUGGUUUGGGAAAUGGUUUGGUCUGGUGGGGGAUGGGCUCGCGGCCUAUCAGCUUGUUGGUGGGGUGAUGGCCUACCAAGGCGGUGACGGGUAGCCGGCCUGAGAGGGUGGGCGGUCAGACUGGGACGGGGAGACGGCCCAGACUCGUACGGGAGGCAGCAGUGGGGGAUUUUGCACAAUGGGCGCAAGUCUGAUGCAGCGACGCCGCGUGAGGGAUGAAGGCCUUCGGGUUGUAAACCUCUUUCGCUGGGUUGAAAGGCCAUGCUUUGGGUGUGGUUGAUUUGAACUGGUAAAGAAGUACCGGCUAACUACGUG